rnacentral:snoRNA from 1 species
UUGCAAGCCUUCCAGCAUGCUUGAGUUUAGGUGACUCAGUGCAUUCCUUCACUGCUUGUGAGAGUAUUCUGAAAUGGUUUGAGCCUAUGCUCUCUGCCUUCUUCAGAGCAUGGUCAUAGACAUUUCAAACAGUU